UACGUAGGGUGCAAGCGUUGUCCGGAAUUAUUGGGCGUAAAGAGCUCGUAGGCGGUCUGUCGCGUCUGCUGUGAAAAUCCAGGGCUCAACCCUGGACCUGCAGUGGGUACGGGCAGACUAGAGUGCGGUAGGGGAGAUCGGAAUUCCUGGUGUAGCGGUGAAAUGCGCAGAUAUCAGGAGGAACACCGAUGGCGAAGGCAGGUCUCUGGGCCGAUACUGACGCUGAGGAGCGAAAGCGUGGGGAGCGAACAGG
rnacentral:rRNA from 1 species